rnacentral:lncRNA from 1 species
GAGAUGAGAGGAAGACUGCAGCCAGCAGUCAGACCACCAGACCACGUCUGUAGACUGCAUCGGUCACUGUGGCUGUGGGAUUAGGACUGACACCAAACCCCCGUGGUUUCAGCCCGUGUGGUCCUCUCCUGCCCGACCCUUCCGAGCACUGGCCCCAGACCUCCGUGGUCCACGCGUCCGCAGCCCGCAGGCUGUCACGGGAUGAAAUACAUGUCAGCUUCCCUGGCCCUCGGACCUUGGUGUUUCCUUCCGGCUUGACGGUUUGGAGGACACCUCCUGCUGCGGGAGGGCAGAGCGGGAGAUCCAGGAACAACCCAGCAGCCCCAGCCAGGGCUCAGGCCUGCAGAGACCUGCCCGCCCCGCCAGUCCCUGCAGGGGACCCAGGGCCCCUGAUUGUCACCUUGGUAGCUUCUUCCCAAGUGCCCUCAGCUGCAGUCAGCGUUAGAAGGGCCUGACUGUGGCUAUUGAGCACACAUUGCAUAUCUGCUUGGACAUUUCCUAUGGCCAGAACAAAGGCCCUUGAGAUAAAGGUCCUCCCCCUCCGACAUUGGCAUUUCCUUAGGGAUAAGCAUCUUUCAUUAGGCUAGGAAGUGAUUGCUGCACUCACCUUUGACCACCCAGCUCACCUGUGACCACCCAGCUGGAGACAACAGACUGCCACCCUGCGGGGUUCACUGAGACAGAAGACCUGCCUGCUGUUUCCAUCAAUUGCUGUGCUGACAGAGCAGUCUCGCGACGAUUGUAAAAGGGACAUUUCAAUCCUAUGUGAAACAUCCUCUUUGGGGAUUGGUUAUGGAUUAUUUUCGUCGACAUUGGUGAGCCAGGAGCCUGGUGGAGAUUGGAAGAGGAGAGAGCAGUGGGAUUUGACCCGCCACCACCUCCUGCAGGGUCCCCUGGGACAGUCCCUGUCCCCCCACUUCCCAUCGCUUCUCUGGGGCAGUGUCCCCAUGGCCCUCUCACCCCCUUUGCAGCCUGGGCGGUAGGUCGCUCGUGACCCUGCAGCCAGCCCUGGAGGCACUGUGUGUGUCUCUGGUUUCCCGGGGUCCUGCCUACCCCUCUCCAAAUGGUGCUCAGAGGCCACUCUCUCCUGGUUUUCUGACUUGGGUGGUCAUCUGUUUCUGUUGGGAGCCUGAUUGAGACACUGCCUCUGCCUGACUCUCGAGGUGGGGGAGGGACUCCAUCGGCCACCCUCUCAGCCCUUCCCCAGGCAGAGGACAAACUGACACCCCCUGACCCCGCCCACGAACUCUUGGGGAGAGUGGACCUGAGCUAGGCCCUGCACAGAGAGUGACACUGCAGAGAAGGAUGUGUAGCCUUCCCCAGCUGGCCUGGGUGCCAGGGGCCUCAGACAGAAAGAUGCCC